UGGCGGCGUGGUUAAGACAUGCAAGUCGAACGAGAGAAUUGCUAGCUUGCUAAUAAUUCUCUAGUGGCGCACGGGUGAGUAACACGUGAGUAACCUGCCCCCGAGAGCGGGAUAGCCCUGGGAAACUGGGAUUAAUACCGCAUAGUAUCGAAAGAUUAAAGCAGCAAUGCGCUUGGGGAUGGGCUCGCGGCCUAUUAGUUAGUUGGUGAGGUAACGGCUCACCAAGGCGAUGACGGGUAGCCGGUCUGAGAGGAUGUCCGGCCACACUGGAACUGAGACACGGUCCAGACACCUACGGGUGGCAGCAGUCGAGAAUCAUUCACAAUGGGGGAAACCCUGAUGGUGCGACGCCGCGUGGGGGAAUGAAGGUCUUCGGAUUGUAAACCCCUGUCAUGUGGGAGCAAAUUAAAAAGAUAGUACCACAAGAGGAAGAGACGGCUAACUCUGUGCCAGCAGCCGCGGUAAUACAGAGGUCUCAAGCGUUGUUCGGAAUCACUGGGCGUAAAGCGUGCGUAGGCUGUUUCGUAAGUCGUGUGUGAAAGGCGCGGGCUCAACCCGCGGACGGCACAUGAUACUGCGAGACUAGAGUAAUGGAGGGGGAACCGGAAUUCACGGUGUAGCA
rnacentral:rRNA from 1 species